rnacentral:tRNA from 1 species
GGUUGUGGCUCAGUGUUAGAGUGCUUGCCUAGCACAUGUGAGGCCCUGGGUUCGAUCCUCAGCACCA